rnacentral:sRNA from 1 species
GGCUCGGCCGUGAACAUCCCAUCUGAUGAGGGCCACAUCCCCCUGCACCUGGCGGCCCAGCACGGUCACUACGAUGUGUCUGAGAUGCUGCUACAGCACCAGUCUAACCCGUGCAUGGUGGACAACUCGGGGAAGACGCCCCUGGACCUGGCCUGCGAGUUCGGCCGCGUUGGGGUGAGUCUCCUGUGGAGCCCUGUGGGGUGGGGCUGGGGAGCCCCACAUCAGGACCCCCUACCCUGACCCCUCCUUCAAGGUGGUCCAGCUGCUCCUCAGCAGCAACAUGUGUGCGGCGCUGCUAGAGCCCCGGCCGGGAGACGCCACCGACCCCAACGGCACCAGCCCUUUGCACCUCGCAGCCAAGAACGGCCACAUCGACAUCAUCAGGUACAGCCGGUAGCAGGGAGGGCCCAGCCUUAGGGUCCCCAGGGUUCAGCAGCAGCCGGGGGCUCAGGGCACCAGCUUCUGGCUUGGGGAUAGGGCGGGAGCAGGCAGGGUCCCGGGUCCCUGGUCAGG